rnacentral:tRNA from 1 species
GUGGGUAUAGCUCAUUCGGUUAGAGCGCCGCUCUGUGGAAGCGGAGGUGGGCGGUUCGAUUCCGCUUACCCACCCCA